rnacentral:rRNA from 1 species
UACAGAGGGUGCGAGCGUUGUCCGGAAUUACUGGGCGUAAAGGGCGCGUAGGCGGCCUGCUAAGUCGAACGUGAAAUCCCUGGGCUCAACCCAGGAACUGCGUCCGAUACUGACAGGCUUGAAUCCGGGAGAGGGAUGCGGAAUUCCAGGUGUAGCGGUGAAAUGCGUAGAUAUCUGGAGGAACACCGGUGGCGAAGGCGGCAUCCUGGACCGGCAUUGACGCUGAGGCGCGAAAGCGUGGGGAGCAAACAGG